rnacentral:rRNA from 1 species
UUCGCCCUUAGAGUUUGAUCCUGGCUCAGGAUGAACGCUGGCGGCGUGCUUAACACAUGCAAGUCGAACGGAGCUAUGAGAGAAGCUUGCUUCACUUUUAGCUUAGUGGCGGACGGGUGAGUAACGCGUGAGUAACCUACCCUUCAGAUUGGAAUAACAUCGAGAAAUCGGUGCUAAUACCGAAUAAUGUCGGAUUGCCGCAUGACAGACCGACCAAAGAUUUAUCGCUGAAGGAUGGACUCGCGUCCGAUUAGUUUGUUGGUGGGGUAACGGCUCACCAAGACUGCGAUCGGUAGCCGAACUGAGAGGUUGAUCGGCCACAUUGGGACUGAGACACGGCCCAGACUCCUACGGGAGGCAGCAGUGGGGAAUAUUGGGCAAUGGGGGGAACCCUGACCCAGCAACGCCGCGUGAGGGAAGAAGGCUCUUGGGUCGUAAAGUUCUGUUCUGAGGGAAGAAAAAAAUGACGGUACCUCAGGAGAAAGCCCCGGCUAACUACGUGCCAGCAGCCGCGGUAAUACGUAGGGGGCGAGCGUUGUCCGGAUUUACUGGGUGUAAAGGGAGCGCAGGCGGGAGAGCAAGUCAGCGGUGAAAUGUAUGGGCUUAACCCAUGAACUGCCGUUGAAACUGUUUUUCUUGAGUGAAGUAAAGGCAAGCGGAAUUCCAAGUGUAGCGGUGAAAUGCGUAGAUAUUUGGAGGAACCACCAGGGGCGAAGGCGGCGUGCUGGGCUUUUUACUGACGCUGAGGCUCGGAAAGUGUGGGGGAGCAAACAGGAUUAGAUACCCUGGUAGUGCACACCGUAAACGAUGAUUACUAGGUGUAGGGGAGUUCAACCUCUUCUGUGCCGCAGUUAACGCAAUAAGUAAUCCACCUGGGGAGUACGACCGCAAGGUUGAAACUCAAAGGAAUUGACGGGGGCCCGCACAAGCAGUGGAGUAUGUGGUUUAAUUCGAAGCAACGCGAAAAACCUUACCAGGUCUUGACAUGGAGGUGCCCGGUGUAGAGAUACACCUUUUCUUUGGAACACCUCACACAGGUGGUGCAUGGUUGUCGUCGGCUCGUGUCGUGAGAUGUUGGGUUAAGUCCCGCAACGAGCGCAACCCCUAUUGUUAGUUGCUACGCAAGAGCACUCUAGCGAGACUGCCGUUGACAAAACGGAGGAAGGUGGGGACGACGUCAAAUCAUCAUGCCCCUUAUGUCCUGGGCUACACACGUAAUACAAUGGCGGUCAACAGAGGGAAGCGAAGCCGCGAGGCAGAGCGAAACCCUAAAAACCGUCUCAGUUCGGAUUGCAGGCUGCAACUCGCCUGUAUGAAGUCGGAAUUGCUAGUAAUCGCGGAUCAGCAUGCCGCGGUGAAUACGUUCCCGGGCCUUGUACUCACCGCCCGUCA